UGAUAAAAGCGAGAGCACAAUUAGCUAAUGAUGGUUAAGUGCCUUUUGUUUUUCUUUGUUUGUGUUAACCUCUCUGUUCUGUUUAAAUGCAACUUAACUAUGUGUGACAUAAAGUUGGGUUCUUAAAACAUUAAUGGUGCCAGAGAGGAUGUGAAGAGGGUUUCCCUCAUCAGUUUGUUUAAAGUUAAAAAACUGAAUGUAAUUUUUUUACAAGAAACACAUAGCACAGCUGAAAAUGAAACCAUGUGGAAGAAAGAUUGGGAUGGGGAAGUUUUUCUCAGUCAUAAGUGUAGCAACAGUGGUGGAGUGGGUAUCUUGUUUUCUAGAGAUUUUUUACCCAUCUCUUGUGUUACUGAGGAAAUCAUUGCAGGUCGCUUGUUAAAAAUACAAGCUGUAUUUGAAAGUGUAAAAAAUACUUUCAUAAAUGUUUAUGCUCCUACUGUAGGCCCAGAAAGAGUAGUCUUUUUAAAUAUUCAAAAUGAUGUAAUAAGCAACUGUAGUGCUGAUGGAUACAUGUUCCUGGAUGGUGAUUUUAACUGCACUGAGAAUGCAGCUCUAGACAGAAACCACCCAGAACCACAUGGAGCCAGUAAGAAUGGUCUUGUAAAAGUAAUUAAGAUGAAUGAUUUAUGUGAUGUUUGGAGGUUUUCUCACACCACUCAGCGUCAGUAUACUUGGACUCAUGUUAAAGAUAAUUCUUUGUCUUUGGCUAGGCUUGAUAGAGUUUACUGUUUCAAACAUCAUAGUAAUGUACUUAAAGGGUGUUCAAUACACCCAGUUGGUAUUUCAGAUCAUUGCCUUGUACAAGUUGCUAUCUUUGUUAAGGAUGUGAAAUGUAAAAGUGCCUAUUGGCAUUUUAAUGUAUCCUUGCUUUCUGAUCAUGCUUUUAAAGAUGCUUUUAAGUAUUUCUGGAGUGGUUACACAAAAGAAAAAUCUGAGUACACUUCAUUACAACAGUGGUGGGACAUAGGGAAGGUCAAAAUAAAACAGCUGUGCCUACAGUAUACUCUUAAUGUCACAAGAGACAUGACUAGAUCCAUGAAAGCUUUGGAGAGUGAAAUAGUAAAGCUGCAAGAUUUGGCAGACUCAACAAGA
ensembl:lncRNA